UUUCUAGGGUUUUUGUAGGGCAUUAAAAUUUGAAGGUUUCUCAAUGCUGUUGCGAUGGUGCGAGACCCAGCCUCUGAAUGUAGUUGUUGUGGUUCGGAGGAACGUUGGCUCCUUCACAACAUACGACAUCAUCGAGGAAGCCUCCGUCGUGUCUGCACCUCAUGUGUAUUGAAACUUCACCCUGGAUCGUUUUGUCCUCAUUGUUUCGAGGUUUACGAUGGAUCUCUACCUCUUCACGAGCGCGUUAUGUGUUUGAAAUGCUCCUCAGUUUCUCACUUGGCUUGCGUCGGGUUAGAGAAUGCUCGUCAGAAUGUUUGUCCAAGUUGUUUGAACCCUAGUUCUGUGUUUUUCGACGUGGGCUCGUCGAAUGCGAAGAGUAAGGUUAGCAAUAGGGAAUCGGUGCCUGCUGGAAGUCUAGGUGUGAUUGAUCAGAAGUUGGCAAAAGUUUUCCUGUCUGCUGCUCGGAUUGCUGCUAGUUCAAUGGCAAAAGCAGCGGCUUUAGCUAGGGUUGAGGCAGAUAGGAGAGUUAAAGAAGCUGCCUUAACGAGGAAGAGGGCCAAAGAAGCACUGGAACGAGUAGCUUCUCUCAUGGCCAAAGAGGAGAGGAAGCGUAAGGGUUUGGGGGUUACUCCGGCUUCUGCGCUGGUGAUGGAACAGAACAAGAAGGCCAAAGGAAAUAGUGCAGUAGCCGCAACUGUAGCAGCACAGAAGCCGAUUCAGAAAAAUCUCAGGACAGAAGGGAAGGGCAAGUCUGGAGGGAUUCCGACGCCUUUCAUUAAUGGUGCUUCGACCGGUAGAGAUAAAUGGGUUGGGGUUCAAUCUCCAAAUAUGGUGCAAGGGCACCCCAAGAAAGGUGUUUCCGUCCAUGACAAGAAUAAACACAAAGGGCCUUCUGCUCUCGUUGUUGCACGUCAGCAAGUUCAAAACCCCCUUGCAGUGAGCGCAAAUGAGAAAUCUAGCAAUUUACUUAAUUCGCAUAACCAUGUUGGAGUAAAGGAGGAGAGUAAUGGGGUAUUACCUGCUUCUCCUGUUGCUGGACAGUUGCAGCAUGCUAACCAUCAGGGUAAGGAAGAGCAUAGAGGAAAAUCAGAUACGGGAUCCCAGUGGCCCCAGCCAAAUUAAGAUCCAUUGGGCUCAACAACUAAUUCUGGAGUUCUACCUACAAGAUCAUCAAAUACAGCGAGCUAGCUUCUUGCUAGAGGGAUGUAGAUUGAUGUUAAAAUCCGUAUGGAGUGUGUUUUCUGAAGAGUGUCAAAUCAUUUGAGAAGGAUUGAAGUAUUUUUGUGGCUGCUGUAUCUAAUGUCAAAUUUCCUUUCCUUUGCUGUUUAUUGUUGGACAACAGUGGAUUUUUUGGGAUUGAUGAUAAAGGUGGAACUGUGUUUACUCAUCCUAAGUAUCUUGGUUUCAAAGGUUAUAUUUUUCUGAAUGGAAUAGAGGGGAACUUUGCUGGGUAAAACCUUCAUCUGACAAAAUAAGAGGGAUGGCUUGCUUGUUGGGGUGUAGAUGGCCCAAGCCUCUCGACCUGGCAUUUGUUAAAUUUUGAGUGAAUUUAGCCUGAGGUAUGGACUAAUGUAUUUUGAAUUGUCCAAAGUCCAAACUUCUUCAUGUGCUGGUCUCUGUAUAGUGUAUACUUGUACUUGCUUGGUUUUGAGUUCAAGGAGAUGCACUCAUCUCAUUAAUGAAGCAAGGCAACAAAUUUGCAUGAUCUUUUGCCCCUUUGUUGAUGCACUAAUCACGAGGUCAGUUAAGUUGUGAACUAUCUGCCAAGAGAGUGAUUAGGUUUAGUCUUUGCUAGUCAUAGAUACUGCACUAAUAUGCUCCUAUUUUAAUCUUGUGGUUAUCUUUAUGUGGGAUCUCAUUUAGGGCUGCAAACGGGGAGGGUAGGAUCAAAUAAUGCCCUUCCCGUCCUCUCCUAGUCAAUAC